UACAGAGGGGGCAAGCGUUGUUCGGAAUUACUGGGCGUAAAGGGCGCGUAGGCGGCCGGCUAAGUCAGACGUGAAAUCCCUCGGCUCAACCGGGGAACUGCGUCUGAUACUGGGUGGCUUGAGAUUGGGAGAGGGAUGCGGAAUUCCAGGUGUAGCGGUGAAAUGCGUAGAUAUCUGGAGGAACACCGGUGGCGAAGGCGGCAUCCUGGACCAACACUGACGCUGAGGAGCGAAAGCCAGGGGAGCAAACGGG
rnacentral:rRNA from 1 species